GAAGAUCUCAGUUUGAAGCACUGGAGCAGGUUGUUCUGAAAGGUCACCAGGAAGCUGAAGAAAUUCUCAGUUAUAGUAAAUGCCUUGAGUAGACAAAUGUAUGCAUACUUUAUUUGUCCACCAAAUUUUUGAAGGAGAGACAAGACCAAAGAUGUGAAAACAAUUAUGUAACCUAUGAAAGACAGAAAAAGUUUGUUUCUGUUGACUGGACAAGAAGCAAUGAAGCCUGUGCAAUAGAGAAAAAAAUGGAGAUUGGCAUAUAAACACAUAUCAGCAUUUAUCAAGGCCGGUGGAGAAGAGAUAUCUUCUGAUCUAUGAAGCCUAGCCCUGUAUUUGUGAACGUAAAGAUUCCUGUCUUAUCUAAGAGCAAUAUUACCAAAAUGCACAGAUGACAGAAAAAUCAUUUGAAAU
rnacentral:lncRNA from 1 species